AAAUUAUUGUACAUCAGAUGAG
rnacentral:miRNA from 1 species